AUAAAGCCCAGUUUCUGGACUCACACACCUGGCCUACCCCACAUUCUGCAGCAGCCUGACCCACUGGCUGUCCUGCUUUUCCACGGGACCGCAGCCCUUCUCCGCACACCACUCUGUCAGGAAGUGACGCCUCCAGACAGUGAUGAUUAACCACCCGAACGAGUGGCACAGAUAGUAAGUGCGGCAGGCUUUAAAAAUAGCCCUGAAAGCCCUUGAUGCAUGCAGAAAGGGCAGAAUGACACUCGGAGCGUCUCAAGGAGGACGACACAAGGAGCGCACAUGCUGAACCAGAUGACCUUUCCCCACGCUGCCAGCUCAAGCUGUAAGGACUGUAGGCAACGGGGAGGAACACUCAGCCACAGAGGGGCCUCCGCCUAAGUACAUCUGACAAGAGGCCAUUGGUAGUGAGGUCUGCCCAGAUGUGGCGGAGACGGGGUGGGGGUGUGGCUGUUUUAGAGGGAACGUUUGGAAUGGAGUGACCAAGGUUUGUGAAGGAAAUUCUGCUGAUAUGAGCAGAGAGAGAGAGAGAGAGAGAGAGAGAGAGAGAGAGAGAGAGAGAGCGAGCUAUUGCUGUAGGGGAAGAAAACGGGAGGAAAAUAGAACCAAACCAAGGCACAAAGGCAUGAAAACCUUACUCUGCCCUUACGAAGGGUUAAUAUGGCUGCUGGGAUCAUGUAUACCUUAAGGUCCUAAGCAGAUAGGAGGGCUGGGGGUGCCCUGGGAUCCAUGUGCUCAGAGCCAGGACCCCAGAGCUGAGAGUAUGGCCAACUGAGAUCAAUCAAGAGGACUCGAAACCAAGGAGGGGAUCGAAGGCAAUUCCUGGACUAGAAGAAGCCCGGUAGAGCGCAAAUGGAGAAAGGUAUCCUGGGAAACCAGUUCAUGCAGAGGGGGCACUGGGCAACCUGUGUGAUGAGAGCCAAUGUCCUAUCAUAGAUGUGAAGAUUUUGCUACAAAGCAGCAGUAGUACACCCAUUGAGAAUGAAUAAAGGGGACCCACGGGGAUUCCUGCACCAUGAUUACCACCUUCCACUACUGCCACCAACACUGCUGCAGGUUGAGUCCCCAAGGACUGUUGUUCUUCCUAUGAAAAAAGCUGCCAGCGCCAGCUAACUGCACUUGGCAGUUGCUUUUUGUUCCUAUGUAUUCCUUUCUCUGACUCUCAGCUUGCCCAUCUCUCCUUAUCCUAAGCACGCAAACUCUUGCAGAUGCAAGCAUCCUUCUUGUCUUUCCGGGAGUGCCUAGGAACCAUCCGCAUAGCUUCUGUUUACCAUGGCAGGGGCAUCCGUCCAACUCUUUGGGAGCAGAAACCUGACGCCUGGCAUUGCUUCUCAUUCCAGCUUCUCUGUAGCCUAGCAAUUUCACAGGUGAGAAAUUUUCUCUGAGCCUAUGUAAACCGACACCUGAUUAGACUGGAGAACUUAGACGAUGAGCACCAACACAAAGAUUUUUGUACUUUUUUUUAUUGUAAAUAGCCCAAAUAUUUGGUCCCAUUUCCGUUUAAAUGGGCAAACCAUAAUAUUGAUGGCUCGCAACAGAUGCAAGAUGAAUUGAGCUUCUCCACCAGCUAGCUGAACCACUUUUAAUGGGGAAUAUAUCGAAGCUAUAAAUUCCUGCAGGCAGGAUUGCUAUGCAAUAGCAUAAUAUAUCGUCUAUUCAAUCUUUUAUACAUUAUGUUUUGUCCUGCAUCCCCGUGGAUAUAUUUAUGGAUCCGGAGCUUUUUGGUGAAGACGCGCCACGCACCUCUUCUUCUCCUGCUCUGCAUUUUCACAGGCCCUGCAGAUCAACCUCAUUUAUUCUUGUUCUUUAUCAGAGACCUGGAGUUUGUUCUUUGUCCUCAGGGCUGAGCUUCCUCUGUGAGAAUCAGGCUCUGCGGCUCCAGACCUCUCUGGGAUGCUUUUGUCCACUAGGAGGCAGAGAUGCCAGGCGAAAUGAAUGGGCACUUACAGCUGGGGGCAAAUGCUACCCUGGUGCUCUCUCCUUACAUAAGGGCUGGUGAUCUCCAGCCCUAUCUUCCUAUCACAAGCGUGAUAACCUGCCAAGCCACAGUUCCUCUCCUACAAGGCUUUUCCCACUGAUCAGAAUGAGACUUGCAGUUAAUUUUCCCUUUCUGCCAUCAAAGUAUUGAAGGGAGCCAGUUUGUUUCGGUUCACCAUUUCAGAGAGAUUUCAAUUCGCCAGAGAGAGAGAGAGGCUACGGCAGAGCCAUGGUGGCCAGAUGUGUGGCAGAGACACCUCGCACCAUGACGAAUGGAGAAGCCAGAACCGGGGGUGAGUAGAACCUCAGAACCCUUCCUUUAAUGCCGUCCUUUCACCUGCCAGGCCCCACUCUUCAGCACUCCACAGGGUUUAUACCAGUGUCACCAGGACCGAGCCCUCAAAGCGCGAGCCAUGGGGAACAUACCAAGUUCAAACCACAUUGAGGACCUAAUAAAUCUAAGUCCCCAUGCCAUGCAUGGAUGGAAACAAUACAAGACAGCAACAAUCAGAGAACAACCAACUCAUGGGAGCAGCUCUGAGAUAACCGACCCGAGUCGGCCUCUCAGCUCGCCAGUUCUCAGUCGCUCAACAUGGACUUUGCUCAAAACCCCAGUUUCUUCAUCUACAAAAACAAGGGUAAUAGUAUUUGCAGUGGUGUUCUGGUCAAUAGUGAAUGGUCCUAUUGUGUUCAUUACCUUUGUUUCUAAUGCAUUUUCUCUAAUGGCAAGUUCAUAUACUUUUAUUUUCAGCAAUGACCCUUUUUUUUACAAAUAUCCUACUCAUCGGAUUUCUUAAACUAAACAACCAGCUUUUGCAAGCUGGUAGGGGGCAAUUCGCACACAUCCCCAAGUCCCAGAAAUCAUGCUUACGAAGGUUGAAUCACUGGAGGCUUAUCAUGUGUUACUGAUGCCCAGUCCAGAGGAAUCCUUUGCUUAGUUAUGGCUGUAAACACUUGCAAUAACAAGACGAUUAAGAAGUGCAGCAUGUUUUAACUUGUGGAUAAAGACUUUAAGACAAGUACAAAAAUAGAGCUUUUUUUCUGCAACCUAAAACUUGUUUACUUUGCCUUUUAAUAUGCAUGAGAAGGGGUGUGAUAUCCCCAAAAAGAGUGAGGAAAAUGGAGAAGGGAGACAAGAAGGGUGUUGGUGCUAAGAGGUGUUUUAAGCCUCCACAGGAAGGAAAAUCAGUGGCCGUCCUCCCAUCCCUUUGGGGUCAGAGCAUCAUAACAAACUGGAACUUCUAUCCUGUCUUCAGUAUGGUUUGAAUUUGGGACAUUCCCCAUAGUCAUUUGUCGCUCUUUCCAAAUGUAGGCCUAUGUGUUGCAUUCCAACACUAAAUAGGAGUGAUCUUUUCAUCACUCACCACAACCGGUCCACUGUUUCCAUCCUUCCAUUUACAACGGCAGAAGCAGACUAUGAACACAUCUGCACACACAGCUGUGCCUUUAGUUAGGUCAUUAAAGGAUUGACGGCAAGGAAGAAUAACGGAGCUCUCUCCUUGGGUAAAGUAUGCUGCUGCUAACAACAACCUUGCUGGCUGUUGGAAAGGAGUAAACUCACAAGAAAAGCAGUGAUGAGCAGUCUUCUGUGAGAGUGUGGAACUGGAACCAAAUCCAGCAGCCAAGGGAAGGGCACAAGUCCCUACAUCUGCAUAUAUGGUAUCCAAGACCACACCCAAAAACACAAGAGCCAUCAUACCAGGGGACACAGAGUACCAGAGUUCCUUGAAAACCCUGACGUCAGAAAGAGGGAUUCUGCCUGCGCACUAACCCAAGCCCCAUCCAUCACCAGGCUCCCUCGGGCACGGUCUGUUCCUGUGAUAGAUAGCACUUAUUCCAUUGUGGGGGGCUUAUCUGCAUAAGUGUCUUCUGCACCCAGUGAGCUGAAUGAGAGCAGGGAGCUCUUUGGCCUCUCUAACUGCUGGGUCACAGUACCUAGCACAAUAACGCGGCAGGCCUCUGGCAAAUGUCUACUGAAGAAAAGGAACCAACUCAGCCUGGCAUUAAAGCCUCCAGUGAAGUGGCCUGAUGGGAGAUGGAUGAUUAAUAAUGGUACUAAUCAUCCAUCUCCCUCACCCACAGUCUCGCAGCCCUGCUGGGCUCCUUGGGAGGUUGCCAGUAGAAAUGCUGCUUUAAAACAGAGAAGCAGAGCGCAGAGUUGAAGAGGAUGAGACAGGACAAAUGGGGCAGAGUUGCCACUUUCUUUUGCAUCUAGGCUGGUAUUUACAUUUCAAAUGCAUGGUCCUUUCCACUGGGCACUCAUUCCCAAAGCCCUUGGUCAUGGAAAGAACUGCAGCACAAGAGGUCUUAUCUGCUGGGUACCCAGUUCUAUCAGCCUAAUUCCUCUGGGGCCCCUCCUUCCCUGUCUAAUAAAUCAGCUCAUAAGAACAUCAAAAUGAAUAUGAAAUUGUUCACAAGAAAUAAAGUCAAGAGACCACCUUCAGCUUACAAGUAGACUGUGUUCUCCACAUUUAUGUUUCCGAAGGCUGUAUGGAAUAGAGUGUUACAUUUUUCCAUAGAAACCAUAUUUAAAAUGAUGGUUAGAUUCUCUGGCUCCCACUCAAAAGCCUAUUCAAACCAUAAUGUAACUGAAAUAACAUAUAUUUGCAAAGAAAAUCAGCAGGGAAAAUACUGUUACAAUACUAGUAAUUAAAACAAAAAAUAAUACGGAAUAGGAAGCAGUAUUUCUGACUCAUCUCAAAUUCACUUGAAGAAAAAUAGAUUUAAUUAGGAAAAAAGGAGGCAGCAGAAAGGUUUUGUGGGCAUCAGCAGGCAUCUUCCAGUCACCUGGAUGGGAGCAUUCCUCACCCCUCCCAAGGUAAGCUUGUCCCAUUCUUUAAUACUCCAUUCUAAGUGUGUAACUCCGCUGUGAUGUGGUCCAAGCAAAACAAAGAAAGACCGAGGAGACUUCAUCUGUUGAAUUUGAAAGGUUAAAAAAAAAGUGUAAGAAAGAGACUAGUCACCUUGGGGGGAACAGCUAAGGGGUGUUUUUAAGGCUCCUUAAACCCUACCCUACGCUGUUUCUUGUUUCUUCAUUCCUAUCACUACAACCAGCUAGAAGAUGUCUAUCUAUUCUAUCUAUGGGAACACUGAGGCUGGGUAGGAAAUGACCUUGUCAAGAGGUUCAGUGAUGUGUGCAGGGACCCAUGUUAGGACUGUGAAACUGUAAAGCCCUUCCCUUCUCCUUGACUACAAAUGAAGAGAAUUGAAGAAAACAGGAGCCACUAUUUCUAUGGAGAGGGGCCAGUAGGAGCCCGGGGACAUUGGCUCCCAAGGACACCUGGUGCUCAACCAGAGCAAACAGUUGAAAAAGCUGCCGCCUUGAGCUGGUGAAAAAUAACCAAUAAAACCCUUGAGCUACCGGACGUCAAUGCUCAGGGCUGUGGGAAGAACCAGUCCAGAUAUGAGGAAGUCUUCAUCGACCAAUUAGACUGCUCUAAAACCAUCCUGAUCCUAGCGUCCAACACAAAUUUAUUAUUCCUUACUCUCUGAAGACUGGAAAGUCUAAAGUCCCAUUGCUUGCAGGGAGUUGUGACUGUUAAGAGAUUUCUCUUCAGCUUUAUGAAUGAUAUCUUCUCCUGUGUCCUGGCAUGGGAGAUAGAUCAACAAGGCUUGCCCAUACUCUCUUUUAAUUACAUCAUUCCCAUUCAUGAAGUUUUCACAUCCAUGCCAUUCACCUACCUAAGGUCCACCGUAUUAUACCAUCCAUACUAUUUGACAUUGAGCUUCAACACAUAUAUACAUAAACAUUCAGGCAUGGAAGGAUUACUUAUGUAGCUGUGGUUCCUAUCUUUUAGGAACUAUAGCCUAGAAUGCACAAUCCACAGUGUGAUUAAAUCCAUAAUGAGACAAGAAAGACACCAAUCCAAACACGACAGGAGAGAAGCUAAUAAAUAAAGCAAAAUUAAUCACAGAAGACAGAUGCUGAGUGGGAAAUGCAUCUUGGGAGGAACUCUUUCUCCUUGGGUAAACAAACCCAGAGAGUGCAGAGGAAAAAGAAACUUUGCAAAUUACCAUUUCCUCUCCUGUUGAUCAACCCAGGGGUUCUUGCUCAUAAAAUUAAAAGAAAUAAAAUUAAACUGGAGCUAGCUCCCUUAGGCUUCAGGGAAGCCCUUGGGUUCCCGGAGAGUGCUUGCACUGUUGGGAAAGGGUUAUCCACCCUCCUUGCAUUGUGUGACUUCACUUCCAUGGCUGCCAUUUAAUGAUGGAGCUACAUGCUCCGAGAGGGUAGCAGCAGUUCGCAGAGGGCAAAGGGCCAAUUUCCUGAGGACCGUGCACUUUGACUCUGAGCAUGACCCCAUGAUGAGGGCAACUCUUUCAUCCUCCAGGGCCACAUCGCUCCUAGUCAGCUCAUCCAGCAUGAACGUUGCCAUCUGCUCUGCGUCAAUAGCACAGGAUUGCUACUGGAUAUGCAGAUGGCCCCGUGUGGUGCCUCCCCUAGAGGAGUCUGUGACCCAAUUGCAGCGCAAAGGCCAACAUUGGAAGCAGGCAGAGAACAAUUUUCCAACAAAUUCUAUGAGCUUUCCACCGAGUUCUACAACUUGUAUCAUUUCCCCCCAUAU